AAAUUGAAGAGUUUGAUCAUGGCUCAGAUUGAACGCUGGCGGCAGGCCUAACACAUGCAAGUCGAGCGGUAGCACAGAGAGCUUGCUCUCGGGUGACGAGCGGCGGACGGGUGAGUAAUGUCUGGGAAACUGCCUGAUGGAGGGGGAUAACUACUGGAAACGGUAGCUAAUACCGCAUAACGUCGCAAGACCAAAGUGGGGGACCUUCGGGCCUCAUGCCAUCAGAUGUGCCCAGAUGGGAUUAGCUAGUAGGUGGGGUAAUGGCUCACCUAGGCGACGAUCCCUAGCUGGUCUGAGAGGAUGACCAGCCACACUGGAACUGAGACACGGUCCAGACUCCUACGGGAGGCAGCAGUGGGGAAUAUUGCACAAUGGGCGCAAGCCUGAUGCAGCCAUGCCGCGUGUAUGAAGAAGGCCUUCGGGUUGUAAAGUACUUUCAGCGAGGAGGAAGGCGUUAAGGUUAAUAACCUUGG
rnacentral:rRNA from 1 species